GUGAGGAAUAUUGGACAAUGGGCGCAAGCCUGAUCCAGCCAUGCCGCGUGCAGGAAGACGCAUCUAUGGUGUGUAAACUGCUUUUGUACGGGAAGAAACACUCCCUCGUGAGGGAGCUUGACGGUACCGUAAGAAUAAGGAUCGGCUAACUCCGUGCCACCAGCCGCGGUAAUACGGAGGAUCCAAGCGUUAUCCGGAAUCAUUGGGUUUAAAGGGUCCGUAGGCGGUUUAAUAAGUCAGUGGUGAAAGCCCAUCGAUAAACGAUGGAAAGGCCAUUGAUACUGUUAGACUUGAAUUACAAGGAAGUAACUAGAAUAUGUAGUGUAGCGGUGAAAUGCUUAGAUAUUACAUGGAAUACCAAUUGCGAAGGCAGGUUACUACUUGUGGAUUGACGCUGAUGGACGAAAGCGUGGGGAGCGAACAGGAUUAGAUACCCCGGUAGUCC
rnacentral:rRNA from 1 species